ensembl:lncRNA
CACAGACGAGUGAAGAGACUAAUGCAGCGACUGAAACGAAGCCCAGAAUUGUCACCUUCAGAAUGCCUGAUUCAUCUCCACCUUCAUUUCAGCAACACAGUCUCAAGUCAAACUGUCCCAAACAGGGAAGGGGAUCUGGUCCAAACCAGCCCCAGGAUGAGGUUGUUGUUCAGGGGCGAGGUAGAGUCGGAGAGGGCCAGAUGGGCAGUGCCCACUUGGUGCCAGGCAAACAGACGAGCAGUAGAGCGGGAAGAGGGGGGAGAGGAUGGGCAAGACUGCAGACCUGGUGUCAGUUGA